rnacentral:rRNA from 1 species
UACGUAGGGACCAAGCGUUGUUCGGAUUUACUGGGCGUAAAGGGCGCGUAGGCGGCGCGGUAAGUCACUUGUGAAAUCUCUGAGCUUAACUCAGAACGGCCAAGUGAUACUGCAGUGCUAGAGUGUGGAAGGGGCAAUCGGAAUUCUUGGUGUAGCGGUGAAAUGCGUAGAUAUCAAGAGGGACACCUGAGGUGAAGACGGGUUGCUGGGCCAACACUGACGCUGAGGCGCGAAAGCCAGGGGAGCAAACGGG